rnacentral:lncRNA from 1 species
CACUUGGGCUGUAUUCUUUAUGCUUGCAGACAGGACCAGUAGCCCUGCAAGACCAGCGGGCAGUGAUGGGAAAUUUACCAACACAGGAAUGGGAAGAAGAUACAUCAGAAAAACAGCUGUUGGCAUCUCCUUGCAUAGGAAAAUCCAAAUUGCAGGAAAAACAGUGGAUUUGUGUUGAAGUUGCAGCAUUAACACAGCACUGAAGCAGUUACCUGGAAAACUGAUCCUGCAACAGCAGCCUGAGAAGUGAGGAACUGUUACCAGGAAGAUCUGAAGUAGUUUUAAGAUUU